CACGUAGGGGGCAAGCGUUGUCCGGAUUCAUUGGGCGUAAAGAGCUCGUAGGCGGUUCGAUAAGUCGGGUGUGAAACCUCCAGGCUCAACCUGGAGACGCCACCCGAUACUGUCGUGACUAGAGUCCAGUAGGGGAGCGUGGAAUUCCUGGUGUAGCGGUGAAAUGCGCAGAUAUCAGGAGGAACACCGAUGGCGAAGGCAGGUCUCUGGGCCGAUACUGACGCUGAGGAGCGAAAGCGUGGGGAGCGAACAGG
rnacentral:rRNA from 1 species